UUCGGGCAUUUUCAGAGGAAGCAGCCCAAGGAAGAAGACAAAAAGAAGAAAAAAAUAAUCCAGCUCGGCACUGCUCCCACGUAAGAAACAGAAAAAGUGCGGCCAAAGGAAAUGAGAGAAUAGAUGGCGCUGGUAUCGUCUCGGUUUCAAUUGGUCAUUUGCGGCGCGCCCCCUCCUCGUACGCGCGGCUGCAAGGCGAGGCGAGGAAGAGGAGGUGGGCGGAGCUUGUGGUUAGUCACUGCUCUGGCCUGGAGUUGGGGAGACGGAUUUAACAUUAUUUGUAAAGAUGAGGCUGAUAAUCGUGGUGGGUCUUUGCCUACUGGCGAUGUGCUUCGGGCGACCUCAGGACACGUGUGACGGUCAUGAUUGUAGUACCGCCUGGCACGACCCAACCACGACCACGACCACCACCAUCACGCCAAUGACAC